UCCGCCUACUUUAUCUCUCAAAUAUACGUUUAAUACUAUUUAUUGUAACUAACUAACUCGUACAAAUAUCUGCCCUUGAUCUAGUAUCUGAAACCCGCUCCAUUUUAAGAUUACCUAAAUAACGGUAUACAUAAGCUUAGAAGAAAAAUAGAGUCUUAUCUAUUAAGCGCAAGUUCCUCUAAUUGAAGUAAGCCGC
rnacentral:rRNA from 1 species